GACACCUUUGAGAGUGCCAGGAACUUGGCCAUUGGAAUCGGGAUCCAGAACUUCCCAGAGGGCCUGGCGGUCAGCCUCCCCUUGCGAGGGGCUGGCUUCUCCACCUGGAGGGCCUUCUGGUAAGUGCG